CAGCUGCCCGUGCCGCCGCGUCGCCGCUUUUGUGGCGGUUACUCGGGCACCGACGCGGGCUUGGGAAGCGGGGUGCGCCCGCAGCCCCAGCCAGGCGCCCGUGAGGGAAGCGGGCUGCCCCUUCCCGCCUGUGCCCGAGGAGCACCUCCGCCGGCGGGUUGCGUUUGUCGAGCGUUUACGCGGAUGACGAAUAAACGCAGACAAGAGGCCUAGCCGGCGUGCCCGAAAUGAGAGGAGGAAGGCUGGGAUCGCUGAGGAAGGAUGUUUUUAAUGGCGGGGAGUAUUUUCUGUGGUAGUUUUGUGAGUCAAGCUGCUGGCGUGAUGCCUGCGGCCCAGGCCUUUGGCUCGGGCGCUGCCAAACUUGGCAGUUCCCCAGGCCGGGGGGGCUGCUGUGGGGCAGCUUGCUCGUGGUGCUCGGCAGGCGUUCUGUGGAGGCUGCGUGUGCGCGCUGUGGGGCGGCAAGGGGCAAGCGGGUCUUGGCCAACCCCUGUGCCCUUGCUGCGCACCAGCCUGACUGUUCUGCUGUCAUUUGCAGUAAUGAGACGGCAGCAAGUUCAGCCCUGACAGGGAGACACGUGGACCAAAAGUGAUUGACGUGUCUCACGAUAAGCGGGGAAGUAUGGCAUUGCCGUAAGAACCUGUUAAUAAACUCACCAAGGGCAUCAACCUAGGAGAGAGGUAGGAUGGAGACAUCAAGUUUAAGCAAUGUCAGCCAGCAAAAAAUUUUUAAAGAGUUUAACCCCUAUGCUGAAAAGCAAAUGUAGAUUGCAGUAAUUGAGAGAACUCUUACCCUAACAGUGGCUCUCUGGCCUACAGGCUGAUAGCUGAGCCAGGAUUCCUAAGGUUUGGAUCAGAUGCCUAAGAAUAGCCAUUGGGAGUCCUCCUCUUUAUCCUUUUAUGCAUGCUUCCGACCACUUGGGCCUUCUGCCUGCACAAAUAAGAAAUGUUAUCCUUGGAUCAUUGCUCCCUGUAGAGCAACUGUCAUGUGGUUGAAGGAUAGUGCUUUGAGCAGCCUGUCAUUGCUGAUACAUAAAAACAAUGGGCUAGAUUAAAUAAAAUGCCCUGAGUUCAGAGCAACUUCAGUUACAGGGCCCAUCUUAGUUCUUGUUACUCCUUCCCCCUCCCUCGGACCAACCUAGUGGAAGAUUGUAGAGAAGCACCUCCACCCUGUAGUCCUCUUUUGAGAGAAGAUGCCUUCAUUUAUGCUGUCAAGUAAUUUAUUUGCCCAUCUGUCAAAGAAGAGGAGUAAUUUUGUUCCGGUGUGAAAGUAAGAUUAAAGGAAGGCAAGGAGGUUGUGCCACCCUUGAGUUCUUACUGUCCCUUCUACAGAAUUGCUCCUUUUUGCAGCCAGAAUGUAAAAUGCGUUUGGCUGAGGGGAGGGAGCACAAGCAAUCAUGUCUCUAUAGCCUAAUGAUUAAAGUAGAGAAAUCCUAAUUCUAGUGGGGGAUGCUCUGAUUUGGGCUCUGGCUAGCAUGCUAAAAGGAGACUUUAAACAGCUGUUUGGCAGGGUCUGCCUACCGCUCAUUUAGCUGAGUUUGACCUAGGUUAUGCCAAGAGGGCCAAAGUGAGUUAUAAUUAGAUCUGAGCUCUUCAACAGCUCUUAACAUCUUUUAUUUCAACAACUAAGACUUCAAAUGGCAGAAUCUAUACACCAUCUAGUGGCCGAAGGCAUUCUUACUCAUUAAAUUUUUAUACUCUGCUACACUGACACCCCCAACACCUUGCCAGUGAAUUUGCCUCUCAAUACUGACAACAGCCGCCCUAGUUUCUGCUUUGUUAGCCAUAAGACAGGCAGAACCACCUUCAAGGGGAUGCUCUGGAACACAGCAGAAAGAAUGGACUUGAAGUAAAUGCCUUCUGAGAGUUUAAAUAUUGUCCCAGAUGUGGACAAUAUGUAAAGAUUUUGCUCAGGGUUUCUGGGUACAGAAAGUGAAGUACUCUCUGCUGAAAGAGUAAAGUACUCUUUACUUAAAAGAAUGCACAGUUCUUCCAGGGGACAAAAUAAAAUCUUGAGUGCAGUUAAUGAAGCUCCUCACUCACUUAAGGUUUCUUAGUAGUACUCAGCGUUUGCCCAAGCAGCUUGCCUUAGCUUGAGCUAGUGAAAGUACAAGGGGGAAAUUUAACUGUCCUUUUUGAACUUCCCUAUUACUCCAGUCAUGAGACUUCCUGAUCAGCCUUAACAAAUCAGUAAGAAAUCAGUGAUUUGGCAUGAGACCACUUCACCCAUCCCACCCGUUCCUCCUUUCUCCAGUAAAGCUGUCCCUCCAGAGCAGGAGUUUCGGGGGAAGGUGGCUUCCCAUUGAGAGGACAGCGGUCACUGUCUGUUCUGCACUUGGUGGCCUGAUGCCACUGCCCUUCCGAAUUGUGGUAAGAUGGAGAUGGAAAGGUCAGUUGAUUUACAUGGGCAGAUACGUGCAAACUUUCAUAGUUUCAGCCAGAAUUCCUAAGCUGUGUAGAGAUUGCUUAAAUCUCUAAGUUGUGUACAUGACAAAAUUCCAGUGUGUCAAAACAGAAUUUUUUCAUGGGAAUGUAUUUUCCAUUACUAAAAUUCUCCCAGGAGAGUGUUCUGUGAUUCAGAAUGGCAUGUCUGGUCAGACCCAGAGCAGGAACGUAGGAAUAGGUGAUGGCUAAAAUGCAUCAGAUCCAGAAAAUUGAAUUUCAGUUUUCAGUCCCAUCACAGGGACUUGACCCAGGGUCUCGCAUACUGGGUCAAUGCCCCAAGGACAGGGCGGCUGGCUGUUAGUGUGGACCUACCUCCGUCUCCUCACCGAACUGCUCUAUUCUGCACACCCUGCCAGCCAGACCAGAAAUCCCCAAAUCCCAUUCUGCAGAACAGCAGGCAGAACACGCACUGUUUUCAAAUCCAUUUGAGGCUCAGAGAUACGUGUCCCACAGCAAUCAACAAUUAAUUGCUAGCCGCACGUUUCAGCUGAAGGAUAGGAGAAAAUUCAUGUAUGCUGGGUAUGCUGCACAUCCAUUAAUGGUAAAAGUCAAAACUUCCUGUUUUCCAGCCCAAUGGCCUUCAGCACAUGUCAUUUAGUCCAUCUGGCAGUAGCUCACCAGGAGGACAAACUAUGUUUCUAUCAGGUAUAGCCUGAGAAGGAUGAAACUAGAUUACAUGUGAAGAGAUUUGUGUAAACAACUGCUUUAAGUUUGUGGCCUGCUGACUUUUGGGUACGUGAACCCAUGCAAAACUGAUGCAGCGUUGUUCUGGUAUGACAAUUACAACUGUUCCUGCUUGGCUGGAGCAAAAAUCCAGCUAGUCUGCUCUCCUGCCUGCUGUGGCAAGUGGAAGCUUACAGGAAGACUACAAGAAGGGGAGAAGAGAGCCUGUUUUUACACCCUCAUUCCUUCUGCUGAUCCGAGGUAAGGGAUCUCACAAACAGAAAUUGUAUCAAAACUGUUCUAUUGAAAGUCUGCCUUUGUAUAAGAACAAAUAUUCCUGAUACACUUCACCUGCAAGUUAAAAAUUAUCUUAAAACUUAAAGUUGAUCCUCUCACUGAUUUAAAGUGCUCUACCAACAACUGUAAAGUAGAAAUUCUAUUUGUUUUUAAAGCACCUUUUGAACUUAAAGUAUAUCACAACAUUAUAGAGUUCUCUUUUUGAAUGAUUAUUGUUUUGCAGUGCCUACAUAAGAGCAGCUUACAAAUACACUUAAUAGCUUGAAGGAUUUUUAAAUUGAUCUGUGCAGCUUUUGCACAGAAAUUCUCGGUACGGUUAAGUCGGAAGUACAACAAACUAGGUCACUCUUGCUUUUUAAGCAUUAAAAAAAAUUAAAAAUUAACUUGUAUGACAUUGAACUCCAAACAGGAGUGAAAAGUCAAUGAACAGCGAAAGUUAUUGGUACGUGGUAAAAUUUCUUUGCAGCUUUCUUUGUAGGGAACAUUAACGCUAGUAUUUGAAUGGGAUUCAUGCAUCUUCUGUAAUGACUUCUCACUCUGAAGGGUGGUUAUCUUAGAGCAACAAGUGCACAGGAGUUAUUCUAAAGUAAAAAAAAAUAUCAGCAGUAAAGCCCUGUCUUUUAAUUCCACAGCAAGGUAAAUAACUAAUGCCUCAGCAACCCUGAUCCACAGUGGCCGAGGUAUUCUGUUUUCCCUGUGGUUUUCUACCUCAGGGUAUUUUACGCCACUUGGUUACCCUGAGUUGAAGUACACAGCCCUUUUUCAGCAGAGAAAGCCAGCCCUGAAUAAAAAGUGCUAGGUUAAAGUGUUUUCCAAAUACGAGCCAGAACAGCACUUUCCAAAAUUUUGAGAGAGGUUUUCAAUGCUACAGGAACAACGUCAGUUAACAUCUUCCCAAUUGCUCUCCUAUUUCCUCCUUGCUAGGGGCAUGGCAAGGCGGCUGCAGCCGCCUAGUUAGCACUGCAGUGGGUGGAACUGCACUCCUGAAAAUCCCCACAAAGCAAAGUGCUUUGGGAUGUGGCCAAAGAAAGUUGGAGAGAUACUGGACUUCUGACUUCUGAAUUCCUCUGGUGGCUUUGUCCUUUUGUGCGAGGCCUCACGUCCUCCAUUUUUGCAGGGAGAAGUCCUGUGGUUUUGCAAGGAAAAGUUCUGCUAUUGCAAGACCUGACUCUGCAAGUCUAAGAAGAGUUUGACCUCCCAUUAACAUGUUCCUUUACGAUAAAAUACAGAUGACAGAAAUGUUGCAGCAACAACAGACAGCUUUUUUGGAGAUAGGAUUUAAGGACCCUGUAUGGCAGGUUCUUAAAGCAGACUAGAAAAGCAAGUAUUAACGUACCCUGUUGAAAUCACAAAGACAAAUGUCUCAACUAUCUUUGCAUUGAAAUAAAGUUUUGACACAGCUGCUUUUACUGCUAGUUACUGGAAUGUGACUUUCUCAUUCACUUCUGUGCCUUGUUCUUGUCAAAACUAUAAAACUAAAAGCUUUAAGGAAAUUAAAAGAAAGAUAAGUUUUUCCA